CCACUCCCGGCACGGGGAGGUAGUGACGAAAAAUAACGAUACGGGACUCAUCCGAGGCCCCGUAAUCGGAAUGAGUAUACUCUAAAUCCUUAUACGAGUAUCAAUUGGAGGGCAAGUCUGGUGCCAGCAGCCGCGGUAAUUCCAGCUCCAAUAGCGUAUAUUAAAGUUGUUGCGGUUAAAAAGCUCGUAGUUGGAUCUGUGUCCCGCACCGUCGGUUCACCGCCUGUCGGUGUUCAACUGUCGUGUAUGCGGAACGUCCUGCCGGUGGCGGUCCGGUGCCCCGUCGGUACGUAGGGGUCGUCCUUGCUUCGCUUGCGUCGUCCCCGAAGGCCUUCGUGGUGUCUCCGGCCGCCUUUAUAUCCCGUCGCGGUGCUCUUCACCGAGUGUCGAGGCGGGCCGGCACGUUUACUUUGAACAAAUUAGAGUGCUUUAAGCAGGCCCUGUCCCGCCUGUAUGUUGUGUGCAUGGAAUAAUGGAAUAGGACCUCGGUUCUAUUUUGUUGGUUUUCGGAAUCUGAGGUAAUGAUCAAUGGGGACAGGCGGGGGCAUUCGUAUUGCGACGUUAGAGGUGAAAUUCUUGGAUCGUCGCAAGACGGACCGAAGCGAAAGCAUUUGCCAAGUAUGUUCUCGUCGAUCAAGAACGAAAGUUAGAGGUUCGAAGGCGAUCAGAUACCGCCCUAGUUCUAACCAUAAACUAUGCCUGCCAGCGAUCCGCCGAAGUUCCUCCGAUGACUCGGCGGGCAGCUUCCGGGAAACCAGAGCUUUUGGGUUCCGGGGGAAGUAUGGUUGCAAAGCUGAAACUUAAAGGAAUUGACGGAAGGGCACCACCAGGAGUGGAGCCUGCGGCUUAAUUUGACUCAACACGGGAAAACUCACCAGGCCCGGACACCGGAAGGAUUGACAGAUUGAGAGCUCUUUCUUGAUUCGGUGGGUGGUGGUGCAUGGCCGUUCUUAGUUGGUGGAGCGAUUUGUCUGGUUAAUUCCGAUAACGAACGAGACUCUAGCCUACUAACUAGGCGUACCCGGUAUCCACAAUCGUGCUACCGGCGAUCAUAUUUCUUCUUAGAGGGACAGGCGGCUUCUAGCCGCACGAGACUGAGCAAUAACAGGUCUGUGAUGCCCUUAGAUGUCCUGGGCCGCACGCGCGCUACACUGAAGGAAUCAGCGUGUCUUCCCUGUCCGAAAGGACCGGGUAACCCGCUGAACCUCCUUUGUGCUAGGGAUUGGGGCUUGCAAUUGUUCCCCAUGAACGAGGAAUUCCCAGUAAGCGCGAGUCAUAAGCUCGCGUUGAUUACGUCCCUGCCCUUGUACACA
rnacentral:rRNA from 1 species